GUGGCUUUGGCAGCACAUACACUAAAAUUGGGACAAUACAGAGAUUAGCAUGUCCCCAUGCAAUGAUGACACACACAUUUGUGAAGCAUUCCAUAUUAAA
rnacentral:snRNA from 2 species